rnacentral:rRNA from 1 species
AAUCAACGCUGGCGGCGUGCCUAACACAUGCAAGUCGAACGCGAAAGGGGAGCAAUCCCUGAGUGGAGUGGCAAACGGGUGAGUAACGCGUGGGUGACCUGCCCUUGAGUGGGGGAUAACGUUCCGAAAGGGACGCUAAUACCGCAUAACAUCCUGGGAUUGAACAACUGGAGAUCAAAGCUGGGGAUCGCAAGACCUGGCGCUUGAGGAGGGGCCCGCGUCCGAUUAGCUAGUUGGUGGGGUAAAGGCCUACCAAGGCGACGAUCGGUAUCCGGACUGAGAGGGCGGACGGACACACUGGGACUGAGACACGGCCCAGACUCCUACGGGAGGCAGCAGUGGGGAAUUGUUCGCAAUGGGCGAAAGCCUGACGACGCAACGCCGCGUGGAGGAUGAAGGUCUUCGGAUUGUAAACUCCUGUUGCCAGGGACGAAUGACUCGCGGUCUAACACACCGUGGGAAUGACAAUACCUGGUGAGGAAGCCCCGGCUAACUCUGUGCCAGCCGCCGCGGUAAGAC